rnacentral:rRNA from 1 species
UACGUAGGGGGCAAGCGUUGUCCGGAAUCAUUGGGCGUAAAGCGCGUGUAGGCGGUUCGAUAAGUCUGCUGUGAAAGUCCAGGGCUCAACCCUGGGAUGCCGGUCGAUACUGCCGGACUAGAGUUCGGAAGAGGCGAGUGGAAUUCCCGGUGUAGCGGUGAAAUGCGCAGAUAUCGGGAGGAACACCAAUGGCGAAGGCAGCUCGCUGGGACGUUACUGACGCUGAGACGCGAAAGCGUGGGGAGCAAACAGG